UCAGGACGAACGCUGGCGGCGUGCCUAAUACAUGCAAGUCGUACGCUUCUUUUUCCACCGGAGCUUGCUCCACCGGAAAAAGARGAGUGGCGAACGGGUGAGUAACACGUGGGUAACCUGCCCAUCAGAAGGGGAUAACACUUGGAAACAGGUGCUAAUACCGUAUAACAAUCGAAACCGCAUGGUUUUGAUUUGAAAGGCGCUUUCGGGUGUCGCUGAUGGAUGGACCCGCGGUGCAUUAGCUAGUUGGUGAGGUAACGGCUCACCAAGGCCACGAUGCAUAGCCGACCUGAGAGGGUGAUCGGCCACAUUGGGACUGAGACACGGCCCAAACUCCUACGGGAGGCAGCAGUAGGGAAUCUUCGGCAAUGGACGAAAGUCUGACCGAGCAACGCCGCGUGAGUGAAGAAGGUUUUCGGAUCGUAAAACUCUGUUGUUAGAGAAGAACAAGGAUGAGAGUAACUGUUCAUCCCUUGACGGUAUCUAACCAGAAAGCCACGGCUAACUACGUGCCAGCAGCCGCGGUAAUACGUAGGUGGCAAGCGUUGUCCGGAUUUAUUGGGCGUAAAGCGAGCGCAGGCGGUUUCUUAAGUCUGAUGUGAAAGCCCCCGGCUCAACCGGGGAGGGUCAUUGGAAACUGGGAGACUUGAGUGCAGAAGAGGAGAGUGGAAUUCCAUGUGUAGCGGUGAAAUGCGUAGAUAUAUGGAGGAACACCAGUGGCGAAGGCGGCUCUCUGGUCUGUAACUGACGCUGAGGCUCGAAAGCGUGGGGAGCAAACAGGAUUA
rnacentral:rRNA from 1 species